CAGUCGCCGCGGGAAUACGAAGGGGGCUAGCGUUGCUCGGAAUGACUGGGCGUAAAGCGUGCGCAGGCGGUUCGUUAAGACAGAUGUGAAAUCCCCGGGCUUAACCUGGGAACUGCAUUUGUGACUGGCGAGCUAGAGUAUGGCAGAGGGGGGUAGAAUUCCACGUGUAGCAGUGAAAUGCGUAGAGAUGUGGAGGAAUACCGAUGGCGAGGGCAGCCCCCUGGGCCAAUACUGACGCUCAUGCACGAAAGCGUGGGGAGCAAACAGGAUUAGAUACCCGCGUAGUCCCUGUCUCUUAUAC
rnacentral:rRNA from 1 species